GACCAUUAUGGUUUGCAUCUUGCCCCACUACAGUAAGCAAGGUUGGAUUUAGUUUCUUGAUUGCUUGAAGAACUGCCUUGAAGUAGCCUCUACUCUCUUUGGCAAAAUUGUCCCCUUCCCUCAAGUUCAGAUUCUCCCUAGUUAAAAGUGAUGGUGUAAUUGACUCUGAUAUCAUGUUAAACUCUAACGAGACGCCUAGUGAACUAGCAUCCUCUACAAGCGCGUUCAUGCUAGCUUCAAGCUCUAAUAAAUUUUGCUCAUUGAUUAAAUCCUGUGAUUCGGAAUCUAGGUGGCCCCUCAGGUGUUGAUGCUAGACUUCUGAUAAACGAAGGCCACUGAAGGGUUUGAUCCAUUCCAAGAUCAAUCACAUGCAGUGAGUCCUUCCCUUUUGCUGCUUGACACAUUCGUUUGCAGCCAUGAAACCAAAAGCAAUGUGAGGAGUUGUUUGGUAAAGGAGUUGAAAGGCUUCCAUUUUCUCCCCCGUAGCGAUGAAUGAGACAACCAUGCCCCUAUUUGUGAAUGUACCAUAGGCAUUGACGGUAUGAAAAAGUGACAAUCUGGACUUCAAACCAGUUGCAAAGCAAUAGCAAAGUCUUUGCAAG
rnacentral:misc_RNA from 1 species